rnacentral:rRNA from 1 species
GAAUAUUGGACAAUGGGCGAAAGCCUGAUCCAGCCAUGCCGCGUGUGUGAAGAAGGUCUUCGGAUUGUAAAGCACUUUAAGUUGGGAGGAAGGGUUGUAGAUUAAUACUCUGCAAUUUUGACGUUACCGACAGAAUAAGCACCGGCUAACUCUGUGCCAGCAGCCGCGGUAAUACAGAGGGUGCAAGCGUUAAUCUGAAUUACUGGGCGUAAAGCGCGCGUAGGUGGUUCAGUAAGAUGGGUGUGAAAUCCCCGGGCUCAACCUGGGAACUGCUUUCAUAACUGCUGAGCUAGAGUACAGUAGAGGGUAGUGGAAUUUCCUGUGUAGCGGUGAAAUGCGUAGAUAUAGGAAGGAACACCAGUGGCGAAGGCGACUACCUGGACUGAUACUGACACUGAGGUGCGAAAGCGUGGGGAGCAAACAG